CAUAAACAGCUCUAAAAAUAAAAGUUUAUAUUUUGUAAUAUUUGAGAUAUUCUAAAAUGAAUUCAAACCAAGAAGUUCAGUCAAGCUUUAAGCAAUUAUUGCGUUUAUUGAAACGCCGCGGCCAGCGCCUGCUGCUGCAUCAUAAGAUUUGCUUAGCUAUACCAUUGGUGCUCAUACUUUAUAAAUAUUUGCCCAAGGAUUUCCUGAUGAAUAUGCUGAAGACCGAGCAGUUGUCGUUCUGGCAGCGCUUCAAGUCGAAAUUGUUGGGCAGCAAGCAAAACAAUUGGUGGUAAAGCCAAGAAGUUGCCAAUUGAUGAAUCGUUAAUUACGCUUUAUAUAUUUCAACAAUAGACAAUUGAAGCGAGCAAGCAGCUCACGUAAGAACUUGAACAUCUAGGCAACAAUAUUUGAAGUUUAAUACAAUUUAUGAUUUAGCUUAAGACUGCACUUAACUUGAUUACGAUAAGCGCUUUCUAAGCAGCUGCAAUGAGUACUCUGCUAAAUGUUGUUGAGCAGCUUGUUGCACAUAAAAGUUUAUGUUAUUUAGUUUUGUUAAAUCAAUAAAAAUAUGUUAAAAAUU